UUCAAGUCUUUAAGAGCAAACGGUGAAUGCCUUGGCAUCUGGAGCCGAAGAAGGACGUAGCAAUCUGCGAUAAGCCUCGGGGAACUGAUAAGCGAGUUUUGAUCCGAGGGUGUCCGAAUGGGGAAACCCCGCUGGGCGGCGUGCCGACCUAGUGACUCCCGCCUGAAUAUAUAGGGCGGGUAGAGGGAACGUGGGGAAGUGAAACAUCUCAGUACCCACAGGAAGAGAAAACAACAUGUGAUUCCGUGAGUAGUGGCGAGCGAAAGCGGAUGAGGCUAAACCGGGUGUGUGUGAUAGCCGGCAGGCGUUGCAUGCCCGGGGUUGCGGGACUUUUCUGAUUGUUCUGCCGAACUUUCAGCGUUACAAGCAGGUAUAGACGAACGGCUUUGAAUGGCCGGUCAUAGAGGGUGCGAACCCCGUAGUCGAAAUGCCUGGCUUGGCGUGAAGAGUAUCCCAAGUAGCACGGGGCCCGAGAAAUCCCGUGUGAAUCUGUCAGGACCACCUGAUAAGCCUAAAUACUCCCAGAUGACCGAUAGCGGACAAGUACCGUGAGGGAAAGGUGAAAAGUACCCCGGGAGGGGAGUGAAAUAGUACCUGAAACCGUUUGCUUACAAACCGUUGGAGCCUCCUUAGUAGGGGUGACAGCGUGCCUUUUGAAGAAUGAGCCUGCGAGUUAGCGAUACGUGGCGAGGUUAACCCGUGUGGGGUAGCCGUAGCGAAAGCGAGUCUGAAUAGGGCGAUUCAGUCGCGUGUCCUAGACCCGAAGCGAAGUGAUCUAUCCAUGGCCAGGCUGAAGCGACGGUAAGACGUCGUGGAGGGCCGAACCCACUUAGGUUGAAAACUGAGGGGAUGAGCUGUGGAUAGGGGUGAAAGGCCAAUCAAACUUCGUGAUAGCUGGUUCUCUCCGAAAUGCAUUUAGGUGCAGCGUUGCGUGUUUCUUGCCGGAGGUAGAGCUACUGGAUGGCCGAUGGGCCCUACAAGGUUACUGACGUCAGCCAAACUCCGAAUGCCGGUAAGUGAGAGCGCAGCAGUGAGACUGUGGGGGAUAAGCUUCAUAGUCGAGAGGGAAACAACCCAGACCACCAUCUAAGGUCCCUAAGCGCGUGCUAAGUGGGAAAGGAUGUGGAGUUGCUGUGACAACCAGGAGGUUGGCUUAGAAGCAGCCACCCUUGAAAGAGUGCGUAAUAGCUCACUGGUCAAGUGAUUCCGCGCCGACAAUGUAACGGGGCUCAAGCACGCCACCGAAGUUGUGGCAUUGACAUUUAUGGUAGGCCUUCGUGGUCCAGCCGUGUUGAUGGGUAGGAGAGCGUCGUGUGGCGAGUGAAGCGGCGGAGUGAUCCAGCCGUGGACGCUACACGAGUGAGAAUGCAGGCAUGAGUAGCGAAAGACGUGUGAGAAACACGUCCUCCGGAAGACCAAGGGUUCCAGGGUCAAGCUAAUCUUCCCUGGGUAAGUCGGGACCUAAGGCGAGGCCGACAGGCGUAGUCGAUGGACAACGGGUUGAUAUUCCCGUACCGGCGAAGAACCGCCCAAGCUAAUCCAGUAGUGCUAAGUAUCUGAAUCCCCAUGACCGGAUCCUUCGGGUGAUGGCUUGGGGCCUAGCGUACGACCCCAUUCUGGUGCGGCUAGCGUAUUAACAGGUGUGACGCAGGAAGGUAGCCCAGCCAGGCGAUGGUUGUCCUGGUGCAAGUGCGUAGGCCGAGAGAUAGGCAAAUCCGUCUCUCAUACAGGCUGAGACACGAUGCGGAUAAAAAGUGGGUGAUCCUAUGCUGCCAAGAAAAGCAUCGACGCGAGGUUCUAGCCGCCCGUACCCCAAACCGACUCAGGUGGUCAGGUAGAGAAUACCAAGGAGAUCGAGAGAAUCGUGGUUAAGGAACUCGGCAAAAUGCCCCCGUAACUUCGGGAGAAGGGGGGCCACCCGCUUAUACGGAUUUACUCCGAAAAGGGUGUGGUGGCCGCAGAGACUAGUGGGUAGCGACUGUUUACUAAAAACACAGGUCCGUGCCAAGUCGCAAGACGAUGUAUACGGACUGACGCCUGCCCGGUGCUGGAAGGUUAAGAGGACGGGUUAGCUUCGGCGAAGCUCAGAAUUUAAGCCCCAGUAAACGGCGGUGGUAACUAUAACCAUCCUAAGGUAGCGAAAUUCCUUGUCGGGUAAGUUCCGACCUGCACGAAUGGCGUAACGACUUCCCAACUGUCUCAACCGCGAACUCGGCGAAAUUGCAUUACGAGUAAAGAUGCUCGUUACGCGCAGCAGGACGGAAAGACCCCGUGACCUUUACUACAGCUUGGUAUUGGUGUUCGGUGUGGCUUGUGUAGGAUAGGUGGGAGACUUUGAAGCGGUGACGCCAGUUACCGUGGAGUCAUUGUUGAAAUACCACUCUGGUCACUCUGGAUAUCUAACUUCGAACCGUAAUCCGGUUCAGGGACAGUGCCUGGUGGGUAGUUUAACUGGGGCGGUUGCCUCCCAAAAAGUAACGGAGGCGCCCAAAGGUUCCCUCAACCUGGUUGGCAAUCAGGUGUCGAGUGUAAGUGCACAAGGGAGCUUGACUGUGAGACUGACAGGUCGAGCAGGGACGAAAGUCGGGACUAGUGAUCCGGCAGUGGCUUGUGGAAGCGCUGUCGCUCAACGGAUAAAAGGUACCUCGGGGAUAACAGGCUGAUCUUGCCCAAGAGUCCAUAUCGACGGCAUGGUUUGGCACCUCGAUGUCGGCUCGUCGCAUCCUGGGGCUGGAGUAGGUCCCAAGGGUUGGGCUGUUCGCCCAUUAAAGCGGUACGCGAGCUGGGUUUAGAACGUCGUGAGACAGUUCGGUCCCUAUCCGCUGCGCGCGUAGGAAGUUUGAGAGGAUCUGACCCUAGUACGAGAGGACCGGGUUGGACGAACCUCUGGUGUGCCAGUUGUUCCGCCAGGAGCACCGCUGGUUAGCUACGUUCGGGAUGGAUAACCGCUGAAAGCAUCUAAGCGGGAAGCCGGCCUCAAGAUGAGACUUCCAUACCUUCGGGUGAGAGGCUCCCAGCCAGACUACUGGGUUGAUAGGCCAGAUGUGGAAGCGUGGUAACACGUGCAGCUGACUGGUACUAAUAAGCCGAUGACUUGAUAACACACC
rnacentral:rRNA from 1 species